rnacentral:miRNA from 1 species
CAAACGCACAUCGGAUCUGUGAU